CCUCCACUUCUUCUCUGUCAACCUUGCAACUCAGAGUUGGCAGAUCUGAGGCUGAAGGAGUGCUCCCUGACCAUGGGUUAGGGCCAGUUGAGGAGGAAGGGUCUGGAAGCUUCUGGGAGCGACUUUUCUGCAUCAGGAUCCUGCUUCCAGGGUGUGACAGGGUUUGGAGAGGAAGCAGACAUAGAAGGGACCUGAAGACUCAUUCCCAUGGGAGUCAGUGGCACUCUGGCCUGAGGUAACGGAGGAAGACACAUUGACGGACCGUCCACUGUCAGGACCUGAGUUCUGAACAGUCUCCCUUGGAGAGCCUUCUGCUCCCGGCAAGCUCUUGGUAAACACUGGUCAUUUGGCAACCUGGCCUAUCGCAAAGGCAGAGCCAGAAGAAGCUGAGAAGAAACAGUGGGACUCAGCAAACUUCCUCACCUGCCGCAGUGGCGAUGAGGGCUGAUCUCGGCUGGCCCAAGAUCUCCUGUUAGUUUAGAAGCCAGAAGAACUCCAGGGGCCGACACUGCCUUUAGACUCCUUGGCCAUAGGAGACUUUCAGGGCUAAAAGUCAGCACACGCUCAUCCAGCCCCUCUCUGAUGAUGCAGCCAGCAUUGGAAGCCAUCAACAGAGCAGUGUCUGCCCUUCUCCACGGAUGGGCAGUGCCUGGAGCUGCUGAGGCUUCAAUACGUGACCCAGAUUCUUCUCCCAAAGGGUGUUCAGAUAGCCUCCAUCUCACAUUCCCCUGGCCUGAUGAUAACCUUUGCUCUAAGAACAAUUGCUCUUCAAAACAGCUGGCAGAUUGUAACACAUAUGGGUGAACAUCUGUGUGUCCCAGCACACGGAGCAGAUACUUAUUUCUGCUUGAUCUCAUCAUCUAUUAAGGCAUAUGCUCUGACAUGUCAGAAUGGUAAGGGGGAUGACCGAGGACUCUCCCAAUGGCUGUCAAGGCCAGAAUAACAGGAAAGAAAGGUGUCUAACUCAAGAGUAAGCACAGGCUGGGCAUAUCUGCCAUUGCAGAUAGGGGUUAGGAGAUGGGAGUGUCUGAUAGACCAUCCUGUAAAGGUUGAUCAGAGUGGUGGGGUAAGGAAUUUGGCUAUGGGGAGUGGAUAGACACCAACAAGAGAGAGAUCACCAAUGAACUGAUCUGCCCAGAUUUGAACGAAACUGAAUUCCUCAAGGACAGAACUGGAAGCCAAGGAUGAGCCCA